rnacentral:rRNA from 1 species
UAAGUCGAGCGAUUCUUAGCAAUAGCGAAGAGCGGCGGAAGGGUGAGUAACACGUAGGAGACCUACCUCAUCGCAGGGAACAACUUCGCGAAAGCGGAGCUAAUACCCAAAAAGCUCGUGCCUUCGGUGGGACGAGAAGAGUACGCAAGUGCGUGAUGAGAGGGUCCUGCGGCCCAUCAGCUAGUUGGUAGGGUAGUGGCCUACCAAGGCAACGACGGGUAGGGGGUCUGAGAGGACGAUCCCCCACACUGGAACUGAAACACGGUCCAGACGCCUACGGGUGGCAGCAGGGAGGAAUAUUGGGCAAUGGACGAAAGUCUGACCCAGCAACGCCGCGUGAAGGAUGAAGGCCUUCGGGUUGUAAACUUCUUUUGAGGGAGACGAGAAAGGACGGUAUCCCUCGAAUAAGCCACGGCUAACUACGUGCCAGCAGCCGCGGU